rnacentral:rRNA from 1 species
GGGGAAUAUUGGACAAUGGGGGAAACCCUGAUCCAGCAAUGCCGCGUGAGUGAAGAAGGCCUUAGGGUUGUAAAGCUCUUUCGCCCGUGACGAUGAUGACGGUAACGGGAGAAGAAGCCCCGGCUAAUUCCGUGCCAGCAGCCGCGGUAAUACGGAAGGGGCUAGCGUUGUUCGGAUUUACUGGGCGUAAAGCGCAUGUAGGCGGCGGAUCAAGUGAGGCGUGAAAGGCCUGGGCUCAACCUGGGAACGGCGCUUCAGACUGGUUUGCUCGAGUUCGGGAGAGGGUGGUGGAUUUCCCAGUGUAGAGGUGAAAUUCGUAGAUAUUGGGAGGAACACCGGUGGCGAAGGCGGCCACCUGGCCCGAGACUGACGCUCAAGUGCGAAAGCGUGGGGAGCAAAC